rnacentral:rRNA from 1 species
CCUACGGGGGGCACCAGUGGGGAAUAUUGGACAAUGGGCGAAAGCCUGAUCCAGCAAUGCCGCGUGUGUGAAGAAGGUCUUCGGAUUGUAAAGCACCUUCGACGCGGACGAUGAUGACGGUACCCGUAGAAGAAGCCCCGGCUAACUUCGUGCCAGCAGCCGCGGUAAUACGAAGGGGGCUAGCGUUGCUCGGAAUGACUGGGCGUAAAGGGCGCGUAGGCGGUUUAUGCAGUCAGAUGUGAAAUCCCCGGGCUUAACCUGGGAACUGCAUUUGAGACGCAUAGUCUAGAGGUCGAGAGAGGGUUGUGGAAUUCCCAGUGUAGAGGUGAAAUUCGUAGAUAUUGGGAAGAACACCGGUGGCGAAGGCGGCAACCUGGCUCGAUACUGACGCUGAGGCGCGAAAGCGUGGGGAGCAAACAGGAUUAGAUACCCGCGUAGUC